rnacentral:rRNA from 1 species
UACAGAGGGUGCGAGCGUUAAUCGGAAUUACUGGGCGUAAAGCGCGCGUAGGCGGCUUUGCAAGUCGAUUGUGAAAUCCCCAGGCUUAACCUGGGAACUGCAUUCGAGACUGCAUAGCUAGAGUAUGGGAGAGGGAAGUGGAAUUUCAGGUGUAGCGGUGAAAUGCGUAGAUAUCUGAAGGAACAUCAGUGGCGAAGGCGGCUCUCUGGGACGGUACUGACGCUGAGACGCGAAAGCGUGGGGAGCGAACAGG